rnacentral:piRNA from 1 species
UCAUUACCAGGUCAAAUAUGUUUCUGCUAGU